GGGGGCGGGAAACAAACAUCUGCGAUUCUGCCAGGGGACGGGGUGAGGCCACCGAUGCUGGAAGUGACGUGGAAUCAGCACCCAGGGAGCUCGAGGCGGCGGACAGGCAUUCGGGGCCAGCGCCUCUGAUGCGGGGCCCCCCGGACAGACAUUCCGCGGCUGUGAGACGCUGCGCCACACCACGCGUUCGUGUGCAAACACUUCACACCGGCCGGCUGCAGAGUGGAAAGGGCCCACCCAGUAAGGACUUAAGAGGAACAGUGUAAAUUCUGAUCUCUCUGACUGAGGCCUUCUCUUCCUGAAAUGCCUGCCCCAAAGGGUCGUGCAAAUCGUAGCCACUCUGCUUGCACUAGCUGCUCCAGACAGGGUCUGUGCUCUGCCACCGUGCACGGGCUUCAGCCUGUCAAGGAUGCCCGUGGUCCUGCUACAGCACUGCAGGUUCUGGGCCAGCUGGGCCAGGUAAACAGGUGGCCGGAGUGGAAGAGAUGAUGUAAAGAUGCGGCUUGUUUAACCUGGAGAAGAGCAGCUGGUCCAAGGGGCCAUGGUUAGAAGUCUUCAAAUGCAUGUGUUGCAGGAAAAAGAUGAAAGUGUUCUGUACAGCUUUGAGAGGUGGAAUCAAGUGGGCCCAGCGCUAGGAUUUAAGAGGUCAGAUUUUUUUUUUCUAACCAUCUUAUCCAUUUUAAAGUGUACAAUUUGGUAUUGUUAAGUAUUUUCACAUCAUUGUACAACGUCUUGCAAAAUGGAAACUCUAUACCCAUUAAACACUAAUUCCCACUCACGCAAGCCCUUGGCAACCACCUUUCUACUUUCUGCCUCUAUGAUUUUCACUAUUUUAGAUACUUCAUGUGAGUGGAAUCAUACAGUAUCUGUCCUGUUGUGACUGAUUUAUUUCACUUAGUAUACUGUGCUUAAAGUGCAACCGUAUUGUAGCAAGUGACAGGAUUCCCCUCUUUUUUGAAGG